CCUUUUUGAGGAAAACUAAAACAAAUAGAUUAUUUAGCAAUCCUGCCAUUUCCACAUUGUCUGUUAUUGUUCCCCGCAGCCUGCCCAUUGAGUAAUGGGCCUACCCUGUCAUUGGUCUACCUCUUGCUUCUAACAUAUUUGUAGAAUGUUUUAUUGUUACACUUUUAUGUCUAUAACUAGUUUAAUCUUCUUU